rnacentral:tRNA from 1 species
GAAGAGAUGGCUCAGUGGUUAAGAGCACUGACUGGGGUUCCAGAGGUCCUGAGUUCAAUUCCCAGCAACCACA